ensembl:lncRNA
GAGAAAAGGAGCAUUUCAUUAUAGAAAGUUUUGCCAGGGAACUGACAAAGGAGAGCUCUAGAAUCCCUUCCAUUGUGCUGAUAAGGGCAUAGCUGUGAAGCAGUUAUGGCCAAGCUGGCAGCAGCUCAACAUCACGCAGCUCAAAACCAUCCCUUCCAAGGUGGGAUGAGAGAACUGGAAGCAAAACAGAAUUUAUGGGUUGAAGUAAAAACUAUUUUCUAAGUAGGAAAGGAAAAAUUGAAAGAAAAAUGUAGUGAUAACAAUAUAUAUAAAUAUACACGGUGCAAUUAUUCCCCAUUCACCAACUGACACACAGCAACAAUACAAUUUCCCACGAACUGAUGCCCUGCUACCAGUGCAACACCUCACAACCUUCUGGCUGACACCCAAGAAACAACACAACUGCCCACUGAUCAUUCCACAAGGAUUACGUGCUUGUUGCUGAACAACAUAUAGGUUUAAUUAUUUCAGAACAAGUUCUCCAUCCCAACAAAGUUCUUGCACUACAGAAGGCUUCAUUCUGCUUUGCUGAUUCACUGUGAGACACUGUUUUGUACUGACAAUAUUACAGAAAGGAGAGAGCAGAUCUUUCUUCAGGAAUACUCAAAUUCAUGAACAGUUUUUUGCAGGUUAGUAAAUAGCUGAACUGCUGCUAUUUUCUGCCAAACUACCAAAAUAAUUACAAGAUGCGUAAAGCAGCUGAUCCACUGCACCUGGUUUGAACUGUGGGAAAUUAAAGGUUUUAAAGUUUACUGCUGUAUUAUCACCAAUGUUUUUGAACAUUUAAAUCUCAAUACCCAAACAUCCAUUUUUAUGUCCACAUUUUUCUUAAUAUGUUGUGUAUUUUCUGUCUAAUGCUUGACUCUUAUUUUUUCUGACAUAUUUUAAUACAUAACAACUUAAACUUGUGAACCCUUUCAGCUUUUAUCCUGCCUAAAUUGUGUUUGUUUUUGUUUUUUUUUUUUUCCUUUCUAUGGCAACAAAAUAAUUCAUGGUUAUUUCCUCUGCAGUCAAAAUGGGAACGGUAUUCUGUGUGAGAUUGUAUGUAUAGUAUUCUUGGUACAAAAAAUCUGUCAGUAGGGAGUUCAGACAAGA